GACGAACGCUGGCGGCGUGCUUAACACAUGCAAGUCGAACGGAAAGGCCCUGCUUUUGUGGGGUGCUCGAGUGGCGAACGGGUGAGUAACACGUGAGUAACCUGCCCUUGACUUUGGGAUAACUUCAGGAAACUGGGGCUAAUACCGGAUAGGAGCUCCUGCUGCAUGGUGGGGGUUGGAAAGUUUCGGCGGUUGGAGAUGGACUCGCGGCUUAUCAGCUUGUGGGUGGGGUAGUGGCUUACCAAGGCUUUGACGGGUAGCCGGCCGGAGAGGGUGACCGGCCACAUUGGGACUGAGAUACGGCCCAGACUCCUACGGGAGGCAGCAGUGGGGAAUAUUGCACAAUGGGCGGAAGCCUGAUGCAGCCACGCCGCGUGCGGGAUGACGGCCUUCGGGUUGUAAACCGCUUUCGCCUGUGACGAAGCGUGAGUGACGGUAAUGGGUAAAGAAGCACCGGCUAACUACGUG
rnacentral:rRNA from 1 species